CUUGGAUAUAUGAGGGAAUGGGGCGGGGAAAUGAGGAUAGAGGGCCAGGGCAGUUCAAAGAGAGUCCCACAGGCUGUGGUCAGAAAAUUUCAUCUUAUCCCACAAGCUGUGAGGAACCAGGGAAGAUGUUAAGCUUCGGAGUAUUAAAGUCAGAGUAAUAAACAUGGAAAGAAGCAAGAAGAGAAGGGUGUGCUGUGUUUUGAAAGGCCAGGUUGCAGUGUGGAAGAAGGCCUGGGGAGAGAGCCUCUGAGGUCUCUGGCCUGUGUUGGCUGGGGGGGUUGCAAGAAAAGGAAUUAAAGUGUGGAAAAGGACCAGCAAGCAACACAUUAUGUUAAAAGGUUGGUGGAUGAUGACGCAUUCAAGCAAUUAACAUGAGAGAGGAAACGGCUUGGCAGGGAAGAUAAAUUCAGUUUGGGACUUACUGGGGUUGAGAAAGUUUGGGAGAUCCACGUGGAUAUGUUGGUAGAUGCUUGAAAAUACAGUGUUGUUGACUUCUGUUUAAAUUUAAUACUAUCAAUGAAUGACCACGCAGUCUUGGAGGAUCCUGCAGACUAAUUCUGGAUGCUGCUAAAGGAAGGUAUGAGGCUUAGAGCUCUGGCUACCACUGUGACUGUGAGUGGGCACUGAUGCUGAUCCACUGAGCAGCAAAGCGUGGAAAGAUAGAAAGAACCUGGAUCAUUGUGACAUCACUGAGCUGUUGCAACCAUCCUGUACCACCAGACCUCUUGUUACCUACAAUAAUUAAAUGUCAUUAUUGUUUAAGCUAUUGUCAUUAGAGCAUUG
rnacentral:lncRNA from 1 species